AUUGAACGCUGGCGGAAUGCUUUACACAUGCAAGUCGAACGGCAGCACGGGGGCAGCCCUGGUGGCGAGUGGCGAACGGGUGAGUAAUACAUCGGAACGUGCCCGGUCGUGGGGGAUAACGUAGCGAAAGUUACGCUAAUACCGCAUACGAUCUGAGGAUGAAAGCGGGGGACCUUCGGGCCUCGCGCGCUCGGAGCGGCCGAUGUCAGAUUAGGUAGUUGGUGGGGUAAAGGCCUACCAAGCCGACGAUCUGUAGCUGGUCUGAGAGGACGACCAGCCACACUGGGACUGAGACACGGCCCAGACUCCUAAGGGAGGCAGCAGUGGGGAAUUUUGGACAAUGGGCGCAAGCCUGAUCCAGCCAUUCCGCGUGCAGGACGAAGGCCUUCGGGUUGUAAACUGCGUUUGUACGGAACGAAAAGGCUCUGGCUAAUACCUGGGGCUCAUGACGGUACCGUAAGAAUAAGCACCGGCUAACUACGUG
rnacentral:rRNA from 1 species